rnacentral:rRNA from 1 species
GACGAACGCUGGCGGCGUGCUUAAUACAUGCAAGUCGAACGAAGAGCGAUGGAAGCUUGCUUCUAUCAAUCUUAGUGGCGAACGGGUGAGUAACGCGUAAUCAACCUGCCCUUCAGAGGGGGACAACAGUUGGAAACGACCGCUAAUACCGCAUACGAUCUAAUCUCGGCAUCGAGGAAAGAUGAAAGGUGUCUUCUAUUUAUAAGCAAUCACUGAAGCCGGGGUCUGCGUCUGCUUUGCUAGUUGGUGAGGAAACGGCCCACCAAGGCGAUGGUCAGUAGCCGGUCCGAGCAGGUGGACGGCCACACUGGGACUGGGACACGGGCCCGACCCCUACGGGGGGCAGCAGUAGGGAAUCUUUCGCCAUGGACGGAAGUCUGACGGAGCAACGCCGCGUGAGUGAUGACGGCCCUCCGGUUGUUAAGCUCUGUUUAUUGGGACGAAAGGCCUUCUUGCGAAAAGUUGGACGGAUUGACGGUACCGGAAUAGAAAGCCACGGCUAACUACGUG